rnacentral:tRNA from 1 species
GGCCCCUUAGCUCAGUGGUUAGAGCAGGCGACUCAUAAUCGCUUGGUCGUUGGUUCAAUCCCAACAGGGGCCACCA